rnacentral:rRNA from 1 species
UGGCGGACGGGUGAGUAUCGCGUAGGGAUUUGUCGUUGGGUGGGGGAUAACCUUGGGAAACUGGGCUAAUACCGCAUGACGCCUAUGGGCCAAAGGUUCGCGAGGACCGCCUGAUGAGGAGCCUGCGUCCGAUUAGUUAGUUGGUGGGGUAAAGGCUUACCAAGGCAUCGAUCGGUAGCUGGUCUGAGAGGAUGAUCAGCCACACUGGGACUGAGACACGGCCCAG